rnacentral:rRNA from 1 species
CCUACGGGAGGCUGCAGUGGGGAAUAUUGCGCAAUGGGCGAAAGCCUGACGCAGCGACGCCGCGUGAGGGAUGAAGGUCUUCGGAUCGUAAACCUCUGUCAGCAGGGAAGAACGGUCACUGUGCUAAUCAGCAGUGAAUUGAUGGUACCUGCAAAGGAAGCACCGGCUAACUACGUGCCAGCAGCCGCGGUAAAACGUAGGGGGCGAGCGUUGUCCGGAAUGACUGGGCGUAAAGGGUGCGUAGGCGGCAUAAUAAGUUAGAAGUGAAAUACCCAGAGCUUAACUCGGGUGCUGCUUCUAAGACUGUUGAGCUUGAGGGCGGGAGAGGUUAAUGGAAUUCCUAGUGUAGCGGUGGAAUGCGUAGAUAUUAGGAGGAACACCAGAGGCGAAGGCGAUUAACUGGACCGUAACUGACGCUGAGGCACGAAAGUGUGGGUAGCAAACAGGAUUAGAUACCCCUGUAGUC